GCCCGCGGUGCAUUAGCUAGUUGGUGAGGUAACGGCUCACCAAGGCAACGAUGCAUAGCCGACCUGAGAGGGUGAUCGGCCACACUGGGACUGAGACACGGCCCAGACUCCUACGGGAGGCAGCAGUAGGGAAUCUUCCGCAAUGGACGAAAGUCUGACGGAGCAACGCCGCGUGAGUGAUGAAGGCUUUCGGGUCGUAAAACUCUGUUGUUAGGGAAGAACAAGUACGAGAGUAACUGCUCGUACCUUGACGGUACCUAACCAGAAAGCCACGGCUAACUACGUGCCAGCAGCCGCGGUAAUACGUAGGUGGCAAGCGUUAUCCGGAAUUAUUGGGCGUAAAUGCGCGCGCAGGCGGUUUCUUAAGGUCUGAUGUGAAUAGCCCACGCAGCUCAACCGUGGAGGGUCAUUGGAAACUGGGGGAACUUGAGUGCAGAAGAGAAAAGCGGAAUUCCACGUGUAGCGGUGAAAUGCGUAGAGAUGUGGAGGAACACCAGUGGCGAAGGCGGCUUUUUGGUCUGUAACUGACGCUGAGGGCGCGAAAGCGUGGGGAGCAAACAGGAUUAGAUACCCUGGUAGUCCACGCCGUAAACGAUGAGUGCUAAGUGUUAGAGGGUUUCCGCCCUUUAGUGCUGCAGCUAACGCAUUAAGCACUCCGCCUGGGGAGUACGGUCGCAAGACUGAAACUCAAAGGAAUUGACGGGGGCCCGCACAAGCGGUGGAGCAUGUGGUUUAAUUCGAAGCGACGCGAAGAACCUUACCAGGUCUUGACAUCCUCUGACAACUUCUAGAGAUAGAGCGUUCCCCUUCGGGGGACAGAGUGACAGGUGGUGCAUGGUUGUCGUCAGCUCGUGUCGUGAGAUGUUGGGUUAAGUCCCGCAACGAGCGCAACCCUUGAUCUUAGUUGCCAGCAUUUAGUUGGGCACUAUAAGGUGGCAGCCGGUGACAAACCGGAGGAAGGUGGGGAUGACGUCAAAUCAUCAUGCCCCUUAUGACCUGGGGUACACACGUGCUACAAUGGAGGGUACAAAGGGGUGCAAGAGCGCGAGGUCAAGCCAAUCCCAUAAAACCAUUCUCAGUUCGGAUUGUAGGAGGCAACUCGCGUACAUGAAGCUGGAAUCGCUAGUAAUCGCGGAUC
rnacentral:rRNA from 1 species